rnacentral:rRNA from 1 species
AGAGUUUGAUCAUGGCUCAGGACAAACGCUGGUGGCGUGCUUAACACAUGCAAGUCUAGGAGAAAAGGAAUCUUCGGAAUCCUUAGUAAACUGGCGAAAGGGUGAGUAACACGUAGGUAAUCUGCCCUGGAGUGGGGAAUAACAUCGGGAAACUGGUGCUAAUACCGCAUAAUAUCCUGUUAUCACAUGAUGACAGGAUCAAAAAUAUUUUGCUCUGGGAUGAGCCUGCGUCCUAUUAGCUUGUUGGUAAGGUAACGGCUUACCAAGGCUACAAUGGGUAGCUGGUCUGAGAGGAUGGUCAGCCACACUGGCACUGAGACACGGGCCAGACUCCUACGGGAGGCAGCAGUGAGGAAUAUUGGGCAAUGGGCGAAAGCCUGACCCAGCAACGCCACGUGGGUGAUGACGCUCUGAGGAGUGUAAAACCCUGUUAGGAGGGAAGAAUCUCUCGACUUGUCGGGAUUGACGGUACCUCCAGAGAAAGCUCCGGCUAACUUCGUGCCAGCAGCCGCGGUAAUACGGGGGGAGCAAGCGUUGUUCGGAUUUACUGGGCGUAAAGAGCGUGUAGGCGGGAUGGUUAGUCAGCGGUGAAAUCUUUUAGCUUAACUGAGAGACUGCCUCUGAUACUGCCAUUCUUGAGUUCAGAAGAGGGAAGUGGAAUUCCUGGUGUAGCGGUGAAAUGUGUAGAUAUCAGGAAGAACACCAGUAGCGAAGGCGGCUUCCUGGUCUGAUACUAACGCUGAGACGCGAAAGCGUGGGGAGCAAACAGGAUUAGAUACCCUAGUAGUCC